rnacentral:rRNA from 1 species
GUCGAACGAUGAUCCGGUGCUUGCGCCGGGGAUUAGUGGCGAACGGGUGAGUAACACGUGAGUAACCUGCCCUUGACUCUGGGAUAAGCCUGGGAAACUGGGUCUAAUACCGGAUAUGACUUCUCAUCGCAUGGUGGGGGGUGGAAAGCUUUUUGUGGUUUUGGAUGGACUCGCGGCCUAUCAGCUUGUUGGUGGGGUAAUGGCCUACCAAGGCGACGACGGGUAGCCGGCCUGAGAGGGUGACCGGCCACACUGGGACUGAGACACGGCCCAGACUCCUACGGGAGGCAGCAGUGGGGAAUAUUGCACAAUGGGCGAAAGCCUGAUGCAGCGACGCCGCGUGAGGGAUGACGGCCUUCGGGUUGUAAACCUCUUUCAGUAGGGAAGAAGCCCUCUUUGGGGGUGACGGUACUUGCAGAAGAACCGCCGGCUAACUACGUGCCAGCAGCCGCGGUAAUACGUACGGCGCAAGCGUUAUCCGGAAUUAUUGGGCGUAAAGAGCUCGUAGGCGGGUUGUCGCGUCUGCUGUGAAAGACCGGGGCUCUACUCCUGUUCUGCAGUGGGUACGGGCAGACUAUAGUGCAGUAGGGGAAGACUGGAAUCCCUGGUGUAGCGGUUAAAUGCGCAGAUAUCAGGAGGAACACCGAUGGCGAAGGCGGUUCUCUGGCUAGUAACUGACGCUGAGGAGCGAAAGCAUGGAGGGAAACCAAACAAUGAUUUAAGAUAACGCCUGGGUACGUCCCCUGGCCAGUAAAACCGUUGGGGGUAACGUAGGGGGGUGGGGAGGGAACCCUUUCCGUUUGGUUUUUUCCCGCCGGCCAGGUAAACUUAAAAGGCAAUUUAAGCU